CCACAUGCUCCCUGCAUGCACUGAGGAGGUAAUCAACCUUCCUGAGCCUCUGUUGCUUCAUCUCUAGAAGAGUCCUCAUAAUACCUGCCAGUCUAGUAUGCAUCCCACCGAAUCACAACCUCCUAUCGUUGCCUUGUCAUCAAGUCUUUGAGGGAUUGUGGAUUAGGGAUGGAAGGAGCGAAGGAGUGACAGACUCGUUGGUAAUACAGAAUGGCCAGAUGUCCAACACAGCUAAGUUCAAGAACUGCAUUCCUUUCUGGAGGCUCCAGGGAAGAAUCCAUUCCUUGCCUUUUCCAGCUUCUAGAGUUUACCCACAUUCCUUGGCCCAUGGCUUCCUUCCUCCAUCUUCAAAACCAGCAACCACAAGUUAAUUCCUCACCUCCUAUCAUAUUGACUGUUAUUCUAUGGCUUUAUCUUCCUCUCUGACUGCAGCUGGGGAAGAUUCCCCUUAAGGACUCAUAGGAUUAGAUGAACCCACCUGGAUACUAUAUCCUUAACCGUAAUCACAUAGGCAAUGUCCUAUGCAUGGCAAAAGGAUCCAAGGUUUAGACAUGGAGAUCUUUAGAGGGCAAUUAUUCUACCUACCAAAAUAAUUGAGAAUGAGCACAAGUCAAGAUUAUAAUAGCAAUAGAAUAUAUGAACAUGAAGCUCAAAAAAGAAAAGUGAAAUAAAAAAUUACUGUAAAUCUUUAAAGAGACAGCCUGCUUAAAUUUUUAACAAUUGAAAACAAUGGGAGUGAAUAGACAUCUCUUGAGUAUGACACACAUUACAAAUUCUUAUAUAAUGGAUAUUUAAUUACUGAUCGAAACUAUACCAACAGGCAAUAGAAUU